AGAUGGGAUAAAUCAAAGUACUGUCUGUAAUUUGCGGACAAUUUGAGAUUGGAGAUCUUCCACCGUCAAGUUUCCACCAGGACGUCUCCCGGAAGACUGACUUCAGCGGAAUAAUUUCCGGUUUUUUUCAAAAUAAGACAUCAAAGUGAAACACAGAGAAAAGGCGUAAUGUAGCUUUUAGAUGUUCGGAAUCAGAUAUAUCGCAGAUAUAGAAGUCUGGAUACGCUCGCCAUAUUGUAAGGAAAAUUGGCUGGCUCAGCCAUAUUGUAAGGAGAAACUGUCUUUACUCAGUUAUAUUGUAGCGUUGUGGUUUUAUGCUCUUUUAUGAAAGAGGAACCAUGCUACGUAUUAAUUCGGAAUAUUAAUUUUUAAUAAAUCAAUAAUCAAAUUUUAUAUUGUUAAGAAGACUCAAAGGUUGUUUUCAUCGAUAAACUGACGAUAAUAUCUGUGUGUCUGUGUUUCAGUUCAAUGAGGAAACCAGUUUGACAAUUAAAAGUUUUAAUUCUUCAAAUUAAACUAAUGAUUUUGAAAUUGACAAAAAGGAAAUAACAAUCAACAUUGGCAACUUGUGGGACAAUCUUUAACAGUUGAUAUGAUCAAAUAGACCUUGUGGUGAAUUUAUGAAGAUUGAGAAUGUUGUGAUAUGAAUGCGCGUGUGAGUCUGAUUUUGCUUCAGGAAGAACAGGUGUCUGAGUGAAGUGAUGGUUUGGAUAAACUUAGGUCUUAUCAGAGAACUGCAUCAAACGCUAAACACCGUGCUCUGUCUCACCGAACUCUUGUGGAUCCUCUUUCGGAUCCGGGCCGUGGAGGAUGGUGGUGGUUCAUCCAGAUGACACCAACGGCUGACAGGAGAGACGUAGGUGUCGAACGGAACCGGUCCAGAGUUGCCCUCGGUACACGUUGAUGGUAGAGUGUUUUGUCGAUGCGCUUUCUUAAGUUAAUUCACUCAGAAAUCAAAAGACUCGGUAAUGAGUCUGCGUUAGAAGUUGCGAUUCAGCUAUUCUGUCUGGCUGACAGGAACAGCGUGAGAGGGGAGAGAAACGAGCCAACCGGCUCUGCCCCCCCUUUGGUUUUCAGGUCCUCUCUCUUUCGUUGUCCAACACGAACUGAAAUCAUAAGACUGAAACUUACCAAAAGCCUUUCUCCUCUCAAAGCAAAAUGUGUGCGUCAGCAAAUGUGUUUUGGAGUUUACUGUGAGCAGAUGUGCGUGGGCGUGUUUGGGUGUGUGAAGAAGCAGGAGUGUGAAGGUCGUUACCAAACAUUCUCAACAUUAACAUUUAAUUAAGAAUGGAUUAAUUAAAUCUCUUAUAAUUACCCAAAGCAUGAUAGCCAUUCAUUUGAUUAAAACACAUUUAUAAUGAGCAAAUUGAUGAUUAAACUUUUAACAUUCAAAACAAGAAAAGGAAGUUUAAACUUUAUGUUUUGACUUGUUCUGGGUACAACUCAUGGAAACACGUCUUCUGGACGCUGCAGGUGGCUGAUGUUAUGGCUACUUCCAGACUCUCGCAGACUUCAUGUCUGCAAAGGUCCCAAUCUGUGUGUUAAAGUUCUCAGCGACCCAGCUUUGACCCAGCUGAGUCCAACACCACCUUUGUGACAGAAAACCCAUAUUACACGUUACACGUUUCUCUACGGAGAAGGGGGCUCCCACCUGUCCCAAGGGGACAUUCGCAGCGGGAUAUGCACUCGAUUCUUGGGAGGUCUGGCGAAUCGUGUGCCUCUCUCAGUUGUCCAUCGAGGACGUGGAAGAUUUGUGGAUAUUCGGCCUGAUGAUCACUGGAUUUCUUCUGAUUGGAGUGGGAGGAUAUCUGGUUUUCUGAAAAUUCGGGAAGACGGGAGCGAUUGGAGUGCGACCCGCACCCAUGGAAUGUGCCGCCCGUGCGGUGACCUCACAGACUGGGACGUUACUCGAGGUGAACCGUAAGCUGGACAAUGUCCUCGCGGCGUUGCCUGUGUUAGUGCGCAAGAUGGAUGUCAUCUCGGAGAGGGUCGCCGGACGGUGUGGGGAUGUUUAGAACAUAAAAUUGGCUUCACUGGUGGACAUGAAUGACCACUUAUAGACUCCAAGGCAGAGAGGAAAAUUAUCUCUGCCUGCCCUAAACAAAGUCUUGUUUAUCCUUAUCUGACGCCAAGGCAGCCUCCAAGGCUGCCAUCAACACACUCCCACGAAAGGAGGAAUGCUGACAGAUGCUGUGUCCCGACCUUCCCCCCUGCCUUCAGAUUGUGACUUCUGCUUCGAGGUCAGCAACCUGCAGGAAACUCAGUGCGCUCUCUGUCCCUCAUUUCUCCCUCCCACCUGUUUGUCUGCAGCUGGCUGAGCGCCGUAAUGGCAGCUCCCGUUGGAGGAUUCAGGAUCCCGCCCAACCCCGCCUCCCCAUCGGACUCUGAUGUUUUGUAUCUGUGAUGGUCGUGCUUCUAUGUUGAGGAGUUUUUUUGUAUAAUAGAGUUACUCCCCGCUGGGUCUAACUCUGCUAUGCCUUUUUUUUUUACCUUGCCCCAAUUAUCCUCAUGUAACACCCUUUUCAUCUAAUGAAAUGAGCGCUGUUAUGGCUGCUCUCGUGACUGCCUGUACCUGUUUUUGUCUACAUGUGUGUGUGUUUAACCUUGGUCAGGUUGUGUUCGCGGAGUCAAGUUCCUAUGCUCUGGGUCGGUGGAGCGCUGGCAAUAAAGCUUAUUCUGAUUCUGACUCUGAUUCUCUAAGUGAUAGGUGAAUUUUGUUUUUUAAACAUAUUUUUUACUUUAUUUAAGAUUGGUAUGCUGAAAAUCAUUUAAUGUUUUGCAUAAAGCAUGAGGUUUUGGUUAGUAAUUGAUUGGAAGAAUAACAAAUGACUGAAUUAAAUAGUGGGGCGCCUCUGUCAGUGCGCCCCAGGGCAGCUGUGGCUACAUUGUAGCUUAUCACCAUCAGUGUGUGAAUGUGUGUGUGAAUGGAUGAAUGACGCACUGUAGUGUAAAGCGCUUUGGAGUCCUUACUCUGAGAGGCGCUAUACAAGUGCGGAUCAUUUAUCAUUUAUAGUGCUGAUCAGGCAGAGCUUUGUCACCAGCGUUCCACUGCACAAUGGCUUCAAACACGUAUAUAAAUGUUAGUUUAUACAUAAACCAUUGGAUGAAAUUACACAAACUGACUGAGCUCUAGUUAAGGCGCUUGCAAUAGUUUGUGUAUGUGUGCGUGCGUGUGUACGUGUGUGUGUAUGUGUAUGUGUACGUGUGUGUGUGUGUGUGUGUGCGUGCAUGUGUUUGGGGGAGGGUACAUUGGAACUUUGUCCCCCCCAGUUUGAAAAUCCUAUCUGCGCCCCUGGUAUCAAUCACUCAGUAGGGGAGCAGAUUUCAUAUGAUGACAUUAUUGAUGAAUUUGCAUCAAGGUUAGGUUUUAAUUUUAGUUUGUGUUUUCUGUUCUAAGUGCAAUGCUGUAGUGAUUAUCUUUAGUUUGCUAUGUGUGAAACAUUUUUGCUACUUAGAAUAUUUAUUAUAUAUUAUGUUCAUAUAUUCUUAAUAUUUAGUUAUUGUUUGUUUUUGUAUAUUUGAUUCUAUAUAUUUCGAUACAGUAUAUAAUGUAUAGUGCUUUACAUUCUGACAACUUCAUUAGUAAUUAAUGUAAAUAUGUGCAACUUAGAAAAAUGAAUGUUCAAUAGUCGUUCUAAUAAAACAUGCCUGUUUGUAGAAAACAUGCGUGUGUUUGUGCAGGUGGGGUGGUGGUGGUGGUGGUGGUGUGUGUGGGGGGGGGGUGCUCAAAGGGGGCCUCACCCGGGGAGUAAUUCCAUGUAGAACCGCCACUGACUACAAUGAAAGUGACUUGAGUGAGCAGAAGAUGGGUUUCAAAAGCAAGGAUAAGGUCAGGCUGAAGCUCACUGCAGUACCGUCAGUACACAGCAGAGGCAGUCAACAGCGAGAGGGACAACAAGGAGGUGAGACCGCUAUGGCUACUCCUGGGAACAGCUGCAGCAGAUUCAAGACUCCACAAAAAACUGCAGCUCGGAAACUUGAAGUUUGUUUGGCAAUCACUUUUAUAUUUACACAUUUACUUCUGAUAUUUUGUAGUAAUAUAGAAGUCUGAUUUUACAACAAUUUUAAUUCAAAAUCUCUCUUCAGAGGAGAAGCUCAUCAGCAUCUGGGUGAGCUGCUAGCUGCAGCGAAGGGCAAAUGUUUGUGUAGCAUGUAAAUAUACGGAGCUAGAUAUUUUUAUGUUGCUACGGUUGGUCAUUAUUUCUAAGCUAGAAAAAUUAAAAACUGCUAUAUAAUGUACACUGACAUGUUCAGAUUUAGAAAAUAACGCUUUUGUACUUGUUUUAUAGAUGAUAGCAUUUGUCUCACAGAUGGAAGCUGAGCUCAUUCCUGAUGCUGCUGAUGCACAUGAUGAUGUGAGAGAAGACAGUCUGUCUGCAGAUCACCACCAGGUGACCUCGAUCAACUCAUUUGUCACCGAUCAUCAGCUCCAUGACAUUUGUGGAAGCAGUCCAUAGUGAACCAUCUGUACAGGACCACUGCAUCCACACCUGAUGACUCAUGUCCAUGUACAUGAGACACAUACAUUUCCAGUUUGUCUCCAUGCUCCACUGGAAGGACAAGCAGUGGCUAGUUCCAGGAUCAACUUCAGCAGUCAAGUUGGAGAAAGCAGCACUCCAGCCAGGAUUUGUGAAGGAUGUGAGGUAGCUGUCCCCUCAGCACCAAACGUAUUCACUAGAGGCGUUCCACUCACUCAUUUGCUCCUCAGCAUACAGGUUCUCAU